GACGAACGCUGGCGGCGUGCUUAACACAUGCCAGUCGAACGGUGAAGGGACUGGUUUUGCUGGUCCUGGAUGAGUGGCGAACGGGUGAGUAACACGUGAGUAACCUGCCCCCUUCUUCUGGAUAACCGCAUGAAAGUGUGGCUAAUACGGGAUAUUCUGGGUCUGUCGCAUGGUGGGCCUGGGAAAGAUUGCGCCUUUUUUGGUGUUUUUGGUGGGGGAUGGGCUCGCGGCCUAUCAGCUUGUUGGUGGGGUGAUGGCCUACCAAGGCGGUGACGGGUAGCCGGCCUGAGAGGGUGGACGGUCACACUGGGACUGAGACACGGCCCAGACUCCUACGGGAGGCAGCAGUGGGGAAUAUUGCACAAUGGGCGCAAGCCUGAUGCAGCGACGCCGCGUGAGGGAUGGAGGCCUUCGGGUUGUGAACCUCUUUCGCCAGUGAAGCAGGCCUGCCUCUUUUUGUGGGUGGGUUGACGGUAGCUGGAUAAGAAGCGCCGGCUAACUACGUA
rnacentral:rRNA from 1 species